GACGAACGCUGGCGGCAGGCCUAACACAUGCAAGUCGAACGCUGUAGCAAUACAGAGUGGCAGACGGGUGAGUAACGCGUGGGAACCUACCCUUUGGUUCGGAAUAGCUCAGGGAAACUUGAGGUAAUACCGGAUAAGCCCUUCGGGGGAAAGAUUUAUGGCCAAAGGAUGGGCCCGCGUCGGAUUAGCUAGUUGGUGGGGUAACGGCCUACCAAGGCGACGAUCCGUAGCUGGUCUGAGAGCAUGAUCAGCCACACAGUGACUAAGACACGGCCCAGACUACUACGUGAGGCAGCAGUGGGGAAUAUUGGACAAUGGGGGCAACCCUGAUCCAGCCAUGCCGCGUGAGUGACGAAGGUCCUCGGAUUGUAAAGCUCUUUUGGCGGGGAAGAUAAUGACGGUACCCGCAGAAUAAGCCCCGGCUAACUUCGUGCCAGCCGCCGCGGUAACAC
rnacentral:rRNA from 1 species